GUGUGUGUGUGUGUGUAUGGUGUGUGCGUGUGUGUGCGUGUGUGUGUAUGGUGUGUGUGUGUGUGUGUGUGUAUGGUGUGUGCGUGUGUGUGUAUGGUGUGUGUGUGUGUGUGUGGUGUGUGUGUGUGUGUGUGUGUGUGUGUGUGUGUGUGUGUGUGUGAAGGUAUGUGCUGAGCACACGGCUCUGUCACCUGGGGCACAGCUGAUCUCCUCAAGAACUCUUCAACCCUCCGCCUCAAGUUGAACCCCUCAUCCCUCUCUCUCUCUCUCCUCUCCCUCUCUCUUUCCUCUCUCUCUCCCUCUCUCCCUCUCUCUCUUUCCUCUCUCUCUCUCUUUCCUCUCCCUCUCUCUUUCUCUCUCUCUCCUCUCCCUCUCUCUUUCUCUCUCUCACUCCUCUCUCUCUCUCUUUCUCUCUCUCACUCCUCUCUCUCUCUCCCUCCCUCUCCAUCUCUCUCUCUAUCUCUCUCUCUAUCUCCCUCUCUCUCCUCUCCCUUUCUCUUUCUCUCUCUCUCUCUCUCUCUCCCUCUCUCCUCUCCCUCUCUCUCUCCCUCUCUCUCACUCCCUCCCUCUCUCUCUCUCUCUCUCCUCUCCCUCUCUCUCUCUCUAUCUCUCUCUAUAUAUCUAUCUCUCUCACUCCCUUCCUCUUUCUCUCUCCCUAUCUCUCUCUCUCUCUAUCUCACUCCCUCCCUCUCCAUCUCUCUCUCUAUCUCUCCCUCUCUCUCUCUAUAUAUAUCUCUCUCUCACUCCCUUCCUCUUUCUCUCUCCCUAUCUCUCCCUCUCUCUCUCCUCUCCCUCUCUCUCUAUCUCUAUCUCCCUCUCUCUAUCUCCCUCUUUCUCUCUCUCUCUCUGCCUCUUGUGUGUGACAGUGUGGCCAAAGCAAUGCGAUGAACCUACAAUACAACAACAUGUAAUACAGAAACAUAAUUCACAUGGAACAGUGGAAUUGAUAUUAAUAUUAUGUAACAACAACAAC
ensembl:lncRNA